CACACAGGCAGCAAGAGAAAGCGUUUCUCAUUGGAUUUGAUCCAUUUAAUGUCCUAGAAAACAUUUUUAUAGGUAGAAUUUUAGCACAGACUGUACUAAUUUUAACACUCGUGGACAUUAUUUUUGUAUAUUUAAUCUAAUCCGUCUGAGAGAUAUACUUAUUGCAGACAAUCUACAGGCCUAAAGGACAGAAAAAUGAGCGUUUCAAGUACUUAUAAAUUCUCUUCUUAGAGGACAAGACUGAAACUGAUUUUCACAACCCAGUGCUGAUCACUGGCAGUUUAUCUGCAGUAUGUCAGGAGAGCAAGGAAAGGUUUCUCCGUCUGAGAUGAGUCUCUCACAGAAACAGAGUGUAAGAUCAGGCUCACAUGUGUCCAGCUCUGUGUCUGUGAAGAGUGACAUGUCAAAGGGUGUAGUACCUGACUUUAGUGAAGAAACAGCAUCACAAACCAAAUGCAGGCUUCAGAAUAAAACCUUAGAUCUAAAUUUCCAGACUAACAGGAACAACAAGGACUUUACAAACAGUUUCCAGUGGAUCUUCAUGGUAAUAAAACACGUUUUUGUAAAUUAAUAAUUAUGACAAAUAUGUUAUUGAAUAAGAGUGCAAGAGAAAUGUUAUUUCUAAUUCUUGACCAUUUUUUUUUCUUUUUA